UAGGUUAACGAGGCGAACCGGGGGAACUGAAACAUCUAAGUACCCCGAGGAAAAGAAAUCAACCGAGAUUCCCCCAGUAGCGGCGAGCGAACGGGGAGCAGCCCAGAGUCUGAAUCAGCUUGUGUGUUAGUGGAACGGUCUGGAAAGUCCGACGGUACAGGGUGAUAGUCCCGUACACCAAAAUGCACAGGCUGUGAACUCGAAGAGUAGGGCGGGACACGUGGUAUCCUGUCUGAAUAUGGGGGGACCAUCCUCCAAGGCUAAAUACUCCUGACUGACCGAUAGUGAACCAGUACCGUGAGGGAAAGGCGAAAAGAACCCCGGCGAGGGGAGUGAAAAAGAACCUGAAACCGUGUACGUACAAGCAGUGGGAGCACCUUCGGGUGUGACUGCGUACCUUUUGUAUAAUGGGUCAGCGACUUAUAUUCUGUAGCAAGGUUAACCGUAUAGGGGAGCCGCAGGGAAACCGAGUCUUAACUGGGCGUUAAGUUGCAGGGUAUAGACCCGAAACCCGGUGAUCUAGCCAUGGGCAGGUUGAAGGUUGGGUAACACUAACUGGAGGACCGAACCGACUAAUGUUGAAAAAUUAGCGGAUGACUUGUGGCUGGGGGUGAAAGGCCAAUCAAACCGGGAGAUAGCUGGUUCUCCCCGAAAGCUAUUUAGGUAGCGCCUCGUGAACUCAUCUUCGGGGGUAGAGCACUGUUUCGGCUAGGGGGUCAUCCCGACUUACCAA
rnacentral:rRNA from 1 species